rnacentral:rRNA from 1 species
GACGAACGCUGGCGGCGUGCUUAACACAUGCAAGUCGAACGGAAAGGCCCUGCUUUUGUGGGGUGCUCGAGUGGCGAACGGGUGAGUAACACGUGAGUAACCUGCCCUUGACUUUGGGAUAACUUCAGGAAACUGGGGCUAAUACCGGUUAGGAGCUCCUGCUGCAUGGUGGGGUUGGAAAGUUUCGGCGGUUGGGGAUGGACUCGCGGCUUAUCAGCUUGUUGGUGGGGUAGUGGCUUACCAAGGCAUUGACGGGUAGCCGGCCUGAGAGGGUGACCGGCCACAUUGGGACUGAGAUACGGCCCAGACUCCUACGGGAGGCAGCAGUGGGGAAUAUUGCACAAUGGGCGGAAGCCUGAUGCAGCAACGCCGCGUGCGGGAUGACGGCCUUCGGGUUGUAAACCGCUUUCGCCUGUGACGAAGCGUGAGUGACGGUAAUGGGUAAAGAAGCACCGGCUAACUACGUG